rnacentral:rRNA from 1 species
AAUUCUCAAAAGCCUUUCUUUUGAAAGGAUUUUGGACAUGGAGGCUUUUGCUGGCUUCACCUCGAAGCCAGCUCCUCUUAAACGAAUUAGUGGGGUCUGCUUUGCCGAUCCUCGACGUGAUAAGAUGUUUCUACGUCUGGGGUUCGGUGAUGUCUUUUGGGCACCUGCUUCUAAUCGUCUCAUCGACAAUGAUGGCGUUCCGGUCACCGCCGUYUCAUCGGUCGGUCGGCUUGACCCACCAAAAAAACUUUGACCUCAAAUCGGGUGAGACUACCCGCUGAACUUAAGCAUAUCAAUAAGCGGAGGAAAAGAAACUAACAAGGAUUCCCCUAGUAACUGCGAGUGAAGCGGGAAAAGCUCAAAUUUAAAAUCUGGUGGCCUUUGGCCAUCCGAGUUGUAA